CCUACGGGAGGCAGCAGUGGGGGAUAUUGCACAAUGGGGGAAACCCUGAUGCAGCGACGCCGCGUGUGGGAAGACGGUCCUCUGGUUUGUAAACUACGGUCCCCAGGGACGAAGAUGACGGUACUUGGGGAGGAAGCUCCGGCAAACUACGUGCCAGCAGCCGCGGUAAUACGUAGGGAGCGAGCGUUGUCCGGAAUUACUGGGUGAAAAGGGAGCGUAGGCGGGACUGCAAGUUGGGUGUCAAAUCUACCGGCUCAACCGGUAGCCGCACUCAAAACUGCAGUUCUUGAGUGAAGUAGAGGCAGGCGGAAUUCCUAGUGUAGCGGUGAAAUGCGUAGAUAUUAGGAGGAACACCAGUGGCGAAGGCGACCUGCUGGGCUUUUACUGACGCUGAGGCUCGAAAGUGUGGGGAGCAAACAGGAUUAGAUACCCCUGUAGUC
rnacentral:rRNA from 1 species